ACACCGCUUCUAUCAACGUGUAUUCUUCUGCACACCACCGCAACUCUCGACCACUCAUAAAUAGCUUAUGUCUGGUUGUCUUCCAUCACCGAUCUCCUUAAUUUAUCAAUCUCUACUUUAUUUUAUUUUUCUUUCUCAUUUUUUUAACCACGUCUCUCUCUCUCUCUCUCUCUCAAAGAGCGUUCAUCUAGGGUUAGUUUAUAGACUCUUUAGGAUUUCAAAUCUUGGAUUCAAACAUCACACCGAUUAGAAAGAUUCUUUGGGAUUGUUGCUACUCUCUUUCUUCUCCUCAGACGUUUCCAUUUGAAAUCAAAUAUCUUCAUGAAUACGUGUUAGAGCUUUUGGAGUUCGUGAGGAAAAGGAUUCAUGAAGAGAAGUUGGGGAAACAUUAGCCAGAUUGAUCGGCAACGAUAGGGUUAAGAUUGUGUAUUUGAGCAUACAUGACCGGAUUCUAUACCGUAAGGUUCCCAGGACAUACAAGCUUUCUGUGGCCUUUCAGAUCUUCUUGAUUUGGCUUGAAACUUCUAAAACUCUGUUAUCCUUAUCUUAGUUUGAGUUUUCCGAGACAUGUAUGUGUAAUUACAUCUUCAGUUCUUCACCAUCGACUAGCGCUCUCAUGAUUGGUGAACUAAAUUAGGUAUACUCUCCAAGUCAUUUCAAUCUUAAUUUAUUUUUUUUCAUAAUUAGAUUUAAUAGUUUUGGUAAGAUAAACUUAUUUGGAUUGUGGUCGACACACACACAAAUAGGUGCAGAAACAGGAAAGCACGGGAUAGAUCUCCUCUCCCUCUCUCUCUCUCUCUCUCUUUCUCUCUAUUAUAUCAAUCAGAUUUCUUGUUAAAUUCAUGUUUUCACGCUAAUUUUGAUGGAAUCUGUGGCAUUCUCAUGUAUAUAAGAUAUUUUUGUAUUUGAAAUGUGCUCUUUCUUGUUUGAUAAAAGAUGUUCUGCCUUUAGCUGUCUUAUUUUACCAUCAUGUAAUUUGUGUAGUUUUCAUGAAUUUCAGAACACGGAUGUAUGCCUUUCUUUCCCUCUGUGACACCCAACUCCACCACCUCUUCAGAAAACGAUGCAUGAAUCGGCACGAGCUCUCAUACUCUUCUUGAAUGCUCCUUUCUUUCUCCGUCUCCUUCAAUUUUCCUUUCUUUCCUAUUUUAUAGAUUCAUUCUUCUGAGAUUAGUUGGGUUUCAGGUGGAUCUGUCUACCUCUGUUCUUCAUGUAAGAUUAACGCACACACAAACCCCUCUAACCGCUUCAGCCUCGUAAAAAUAGUCGGCUGAUACUAAUAUUAUAAGCAAUGUCACAAUGUGUCUCCAUUUCUCCCUCUUCCUGUUGAUCAAAUGUGAUUUUUUUGGUUCUUAUUUAGAGCAAAACCCUAGCAAUGAAGAAAAUACAAAGCCUAAUGAAGAAACGAUUUGAAUCGUACAUGCAUGUGAUCUCAAGUGACUCUGGUCUCUUCUUCCGAGUAAUCUACAAUGGAUGGAGAAAGAAAUGUGAAAUAGUGAUUACUUCUUAAAUAUAAUGGCAUAUGAUUUUAUCUUCUUAAACGGUCUCUUCAUCUCUUCUGAUUAUCCUAAAAUUCACCUUCUCUGCAAAUCCUAGGUUUCUUCCAAGUGUUUGCUCAUCAUCGUUGAAGUUGAGGUGUUCAACAGAGAUAUAUAUUAAUUAAAAGGUUUCGGAUACAUGCAUUUCCGAAAGUUGAGAAGCUAGUUUUUGUUUUCAUCUCUCAUAAUGUGAUGUCAGCUAGAGCCAUAUAGAAAAAAUACAACCUGGGAAAUAGUUCAUUAAGCAAGAAAUUCAAAAUCAAACAUUAUAUUGCAAUGACCCUAUUAUACUUUCAUUUCACUACAUUGUAA